rnacentral:rRNA from 1 species
UACAGAGGUGGCAAGCGUUGUUCGGAAUUACUGGGCGUAAAGGGCGCGUAGGCGGUCCUUCAAGUCCCGCGUGAAAUCCCCCGGCUCAACUGGGGAACUGCGCGGGAAACUGUAGGGCUUGAGUUCGGGAGAGGGAAGCGGAAUUCCGGGUGUAGCGGUGAAAUGCGUAGAUAUCCGGAGGAACACCGGUGGCGAAGGCGGCUUCCUGGACCGACACUGACGCUGAGGCGCGAAAGCUAGGGGAGCAAACGGG